GAGACGCUGGCGGCGCGCCUAACACAUGCAAGUCGAACGGAGUUUUUUGAAUUGAUUCUUUCGGGAUGAUUUUUGGAAACUUAGUGGCGAACGGGUGAGUAACGCGUGGGUAACCUGCCCUGGAGUGGGGGACAACAGUUGGAAACGACUGCUAAUACCGCAUAAGCCCACAGUACCGCAUGGUACAGAGGGAAAAGGAGCAAUUCGCUUCAGGAUGGACCCGCGUCUGAUUGGCUAGUUGGUGGGGUAACGGCCUACCAAGGCGACGAUCAGUAGCCGGACUGAGAGGUUGAUCGGCCACAUUGGGACUGAGAUACGGCCCAGACUCCUACGGGAGGCAGCAGUGGGGAAUAUUGCACAAUGGGGGAAACCCUGAUGCAGCGACGCCGCGUGGAGGAAGAAGGUCUUCGGAUUGUAAACUCCUGUUGUCAAGGACGAUAAUGACGGUACUUGACAAGAAAGCCACGGCUAACUACGUG
rnacentral:rRNA from 1 species